AUUGAACGCUGGCGGCAGGCCUAACACAUGCAAGUCGAGCGGAGCGGCGGACGGGUGAGUAAUGCCUAGGAAUCUGCCUGGUAGUGGGGGAUAACGUCCGGAAACGGGCGCUAAUACCGCAUACUAUCAAGUGAGCCUAGGUGGGAUUAGCUAGUUGGAGGGGUAAAGGCCUACCAAGGCGACGAGCCGUAACUGGUCUGAGAGGAUGAUCAGUCACACUGGAACUGAGACACGGUCCAGACUCCUACGGGAGGCAGCAGUGGGGAAUAUUGGACAAUGGGCGAAAGCCUGAUCCAGCCAUGCCGCGUGAGUGAAGAAGGUUUUCGGAUUGUAAAGCACUGUAAGUUGGGAGGCGGUACCCGAAGAAGAAGCACCGGCUAACUCCGUGCCAGCAGCCGCGGUAAUAC
rnacentral:rRNA from 1 species